GAUGAACGCUGGCGGCGUGCCUAAUACAUGCAAGUCGAGCGAACAGACGAGGAGCUUGCUCCUCUGACGUUAGCGGCGGACGGGAGAGUAACACGUGGAUAACCUACCUAUAAGACUGGGAUAACUUCGGGAAACCGGAGCUAAUACCGGAUAACAUGUUGCACCACAUGGUUCAACAGUGAAAGACGGUCGUGCUGUCACUUAUAGAUGGAUCCGCGCCGCAUUAGCUAGUUGGUAAGGUAAAGGCUUACCAAGGCAACGAUGCGUAGCCGACCUGAGAGGGUGAUCGGCCACACUGGAACGGAGACACGGACCAGACUCCUACGAGAGGCAGCAGUAGGGAACCGUCCGCAAUGGGCGAAAGCCUGACGGAGCGACGCGGCGUGAGUGAAGAAGGUCUUCGGAUCGUAAAACUCUGUUAUUAGGGAAGAACAAAUGUGUAAGUAACUAUGCACGUCUUGACGGUAACUAAUCAGAAAGCCACGGCUAACUACGUG
rnacentral:rRNA from 1 species